UACGUAGGGUGCGAGCGUUGUCCGGAAUUAUUGGGCGUAAAGAGCUCGUAGGCGGUUUGUCGCGUCGACUGUGAAAACCCGAGGCUUAACCUCGGGCCUGCAGUCGAUACGGGCAGACUAGAGUUCGGUAGGGGAGACUGGAAUUCCUGGUGUAGCGGUGGAAUGCGCAGAUAUCAGGAGGAACACCGAUGGCGAAGGCAGGUCUCUGGGCCGCAACUGACGCUGAGGAGCGAAAGCAUGGGGAGCGAACAGG
rnacentral:rRNA from 1 species